GAAGGGGGCUAGCGUUGUUCGGAUUUACUGGGCGUAAAGCGCACGUAGGCGGAUUGUUAAGUCAGGGGUGAAAUCCUGGAGCUCAACUCCAGAACUGCCUUUGAUACUGGCAAUCUAGAGUCCGGAAGAGGUGAGCGGAACUCCUAGUGUAGAGGUGGAAUUCGUAGAUAUUAGGAAGAACACCAGUGGCGAAGGCGGCUCACUGGUCCGGUACUGACGCUGGGGUGCGAAAGCGUGGGGAGCAAACAGGAUUAGAUACCCUGGUAGUCCACGCCGUAAACUAUGAGAGCUAGCCGUUGGAGAGUUUACUCUUCAGUGGCGCAGCUAACGCAUUAAGCUCUCCGCCUGGGGAGUACGGUCGCAAGAUUA
rnacentral:rRNA from 1 species